rnacentral:rRNA from 1 species
GAUGAACGCUGGCGGCGUGCCUAAUACAUGCAAGUCGAGCGAACAGACGAGGAGCUUGCUCCUCUGACGUUAGCGGCGGACGGGUGAGUAACACGUGGAUAACCUACCUAUAAGACUGGGAUAACUUCGGGAAACCGGAGCUAAUACCGGAUAAUAUAUUGAACCGCAUGGUUCAAUAGUGAAAGACGGUUUUGCUGUCACUUAUAGAUGGAUCCGCGCCGCAUUAGCUAGUUGGUAAGGUAACGGCUUACCAAGGCAACGAUGCGUAGCCGACCUGAGAGGGGGAUCGGCCACACUGGAACUGAGACACGGUCCAGACUCCUACGGGAGGAAGCAGUAGGGAAUCUUCCGCAAUGGGCGAAAGACUGACGGAGCAACGCCGCGUGAGUGAUGAAGGUCUUCGGAUCGUAAAACUCUGUUAUUAGGGAAGAACAAAUGUGUAAGUAACUAUGCACGUCUUGACGGUACCUAAUCAGAAAGCCACGGCUAACUACGUG